rnacentral:lncRNA from 1 species
CGUGAGCCUCAGUUUUGUCAUCUGUAAAAUGGGAGUCAUAAGUGUCUACCUCACAGAGCUGUGAUUGAAAGGAUAAAUAGCACCUUGCACAUAGCGGUGUAGAAGUGCUUGUUAUUGUUAAUAUUUUAUUUACCUUCACGCACCUACAGUGGCGGAAGUGGAGUAAGACAUCAUGUUGCCUCAAGUUUAAUUGGAAAUCGCGUGCCUUGUGAAGAAUGGACACUCAGUAGAUGCUUAUUGAUGAACCUGUUGGUUGAGGAUAACUCGCUAACUUUUCUGAGCUUUGUUGGAAAAACGGACAACUGCUGAGGUCUAGUGCAUGUGUGGCACAAGAAAAUGUUUAUCAAGCCUCAUAUGUCAAAUUAACGAACUACAUAAGAAACAGAAAUGAAGAUUGUUUUCUCAUCACUUGUCAAUACAUUUUUAAAGGAUCCUCAGCCUCCCAAAGUGCUGGGAUUAUAGGUGUGAGCCACCGCACCCAGCCAUGUAAAAAUAAUUUUAAAGGCUUGAUUUUCUGGAACGUAAAGUAAGAAGAGGUAUAUUUCACAGCCUGUAUAUCAAUGUCAAAUGGAAAUGUGGAGAAUUGAAUUGGAUUGAAUUAUUUUGGGAAUUUGCACCAAACAUCCCUGUUGGUUUCUUCAAAAUGACAAAAACUGUAAGGAAAGUGAGAAAUGACAAGAGCAAGUGUGUAUCAUUGGCCCCAAGCACCUUCUGUCUGUUGACCUGGCUCAAACUUCAAUCUGACCAUCAGUGAAGAAGGCUGAUGCCGCAGAUGGAGAGAGACACAGGAUGUAUGAAUGUAGCAUAACUCAGGAGACAGGGGUCUCACUAUGUGAUGCAGGAUGAUCUCAAACUCCCUGGCCUCAAGCGAUCCUCCUGCCUUGGUCUCCUAAAGUGCUGGGAUUACAGCAGGUCACUGUAUCUCUAUGCAUUACAGAAAAUGGCUAGUUAAAAACUUGUCAAGGCCAGUUGCAGGCAUGAUACCAGCAGUCUGGGAGGUAGAGACAAGAGGACACAUCUCUGCUGCUCCCUUCUUUCCCCAUGGUUAUGCGCCAACUUUGGUUUCACCAGGCCUACAGUGCUUCCCAGGUUUGGAGUGUGGGGAAGGAGAAGAUUUAAUGGAAGCAGCUUAAGGGAAAUGCUCAAACUAAACUGAUACUUUCUUCAUGAUCUAGCAUUGAAACUUUCUGGACUUGACAGAUAUUUAAAAUUAACUCUUUUUCUCAUUAACAUUUUCAUGGGUUCUUCCAAGAUCCACAUUGAGAUGGGGUUUUACUAUGUUGGAGAAGCUGGUCUCAAACUCCUGGGCUCAAGUCAUCCUCCCGCCUCAGCCUCCCAAAGUGCUGAGAUUACAGACGUGUGCCUGGCCUAUUUUACUCGUUUUAAUAGAGGUUGAGGGCUCAUGACACUCCUGGUGGCCAUAUACGCAGAGGUCAGGGAGAGAAAGGGACCUGUGGGCCAGCACCCUUAUUGGGUCCAGAGAGCUAUCCAAACAAGUUUCCAGCAGGGAAUUUAAUUGGUGGAUUUAAAGCAAGCAGGCAUGAGUUCCAGGGGGCCACACUGACUGAGACCCAAACACACUUGGAGGUCAUGUUCAAUAUGAAUACCUCACAGAGAAGGAAAUUUACACACAAGAAGUACAUCUGCAGAAAGCCAGCUGGCAUGUCAACCAUUCAAAAACUCAGGAAGUUCGGGAUAAAGAAGACUCAGGAAGACAAGUAUGAAGCAUAAUCUGCGACGUUCCAUGCGGCAGACGUUAGACACAUACAAGAGAGUUGUUGAAAAGUGGAAUUUAUCUUCAUAUAAACAACACUGAGCUAAAUCUCAAUAUUUCAGAUCUCUAGAACUAUCCAUCAAUGAAAUGGAUUGCAAAUAGAAAGAGUAAUACCAUGUCACUUAAGAAUACAAUCAUGGACGAUGCUGCCACCUGCUGUUGGGGGCCACUGCAGAAGAAAUUCCAGAACACUGGACUGGAGAGCACCUCACUUUCCUUACAGCUCUAAGUUUCUGACUCAGUGACCUGAUUCAGUACCAUAUACACAAAGACCCACUUACACAAAUGACUGUUCUUCACACUAGGCCCAUGGAGACAGGGAUAAAAUUCUGAAUUUGCUCAGAUACCUUCUCUGCUAUUGACAUCUAGGCAUUACACAAUUCAUCUCUUCAUACUUAACCUUUGAAGUUUGCUACUUCUCAGAGAGACUAAUGAGUAGUGAGCAAAUAUCCUGAAGCUGAGAAUGCUUCUACCUCCUCUCAAAACAACAGAAUAUUCAUCAAAACACAGCAGUUCUGCACUUAACUUUAGGCCUUUUCUAACACCUCAUUUCUUGGCAGUAACUGUGGCCAGAAUAGCUCUUUCCACAGAGAAAGGACCUUUUGAAAGGAUAGGGUCUCUAGAUAGAAAAGCAAAUGCCUCAUUCCAGAAGGUCUUCAAGAAGAAAAUGUUGUGGUGAUAACAAACAUAACUGAUUAUAAUCUAUUCUGUGAAAAAAGCUUAUGAAACAGUAGAUGUGUGUAUCUAGUACAUAAGAGCUGAAUGUCAAUAUAUAUAUAUAUAUAGAUAUAUACACACACUCAAAUAAAUAAUAGUUAUCUCUAACUAGAGAAAUUCUAGUUGCCUUAUAUUUUCUUCUUUUUCCUUACUAUAUUUUCUACAAUAAACAUGUGUUUUGGGUCAUCAGCCUUCAAGCUUCAGUCUCUGUGUGUUCACAGGUGCUGCAAACACACGCAUCACUACUAAUAUCCCACUUCAGUGCUAUUGCUGCUCCCAAAACUCCAGGGAGAUUUGGACAUAGAGACAGGCACACGGG